rnacentral:rRNA from 1 species
CCUACGGGAGGCUGCAGUGGGGAAUAUUGCACCAUGGGCGCAAGCCUGAUGCAGCCAUGCCGCGUGUGUGAAGAAGGCCUUCGGGUUGUAAAGCACUUUCAGCGGGGAGGAAGGCGUUAAGGUUAAUAACCUUGGCGAUUGACGUUACCCGCAGAAGAAGCACCGGCUAACUCCGUGCCAGCAGCCGCGGUAAUACGGAGGGUGCAAGCGUUAAUCGGAAUUACUGGGCGUAAAGCGCACGCAGGCGGUCUGUCAAGUCGGAUGUGAAAUCCCCGGGCUCAACCUGGGAACUGCAUUCGAAACUGGCAGGCUAGAGUCUUGUAGAGGGGGGUAGAAUUCCAGGUGUAGCGGUGAAAUGCGUAGAGAUCUGGAGGAAUACCGGUGGCGAAGGCGGCCCCCUGGACAAAGACUGACGCUCAGGUGCGAAAGCGUGGGGAGCAAACAGGAUUAGAUACCCGUGUAGUC